GAUGAACGCUAGCGGCAGGCUUAAUACAUGCAAGUUGAGGGGCAGCAUGAUAUACGCGAGUAUAUUGAUGGCGACCGGCGGACGGGUGAGUAAUAGGUAGGAGACCUACCUCAUACAGGGGGAUAGCAUAGAGAAAUCUGUGGCAAUACCCCAUGAGGUUAUAUGAAUAGAGGCAUAUAAUCAAAGCAUAAGCGAUUAUGCGGUAUGAGAGGGGCCUACUGACCAUUAGCUAGUUGGUGAGGUAAGGGCUCACCAAGGCGAAGAUGGUUAGGGGUUUUGAGAGAGAGACCCCCCACAUUGGAACUGAGAGACGGUCCAGACUCCUACGGGAGGCAGCAGUAGGGAAUAUUGGGCAAUGGGCGAAAGCCUGACCCAGCCAUGCCGCGUGAAGGAAGACGGCCUUAUGGGUUGUAAACUUCUUUACUACGCGAAUAGAGGUUAGUACGAGAUACUAAUAGGAAGGUAGUGUAGUAAAAGCACCGGCUAACUCCGUG
rnacentral:rRNA from 1 species